UACGGGGGGGGCAAGCGUUAUCCGGAUUCACUGGGUUUAAAGGGUGCGUAGGUGGGUCUGUAAGUCCGUGGUGAAAUCUCUAGGCUUAACCUGGAAACUGCCAUGGAUACUAUAGAUCUUGAAUACUGUGGAGGUCGGCGGAAUAUGUCAUGUAGCGGUGAAAUGCUUAGAUAUGACAUAGAACACCAAUUGCGAAGGCAGCUGGCUACACAAAUAUUGACACUGAGGCACGAAAGCGUGGGGAUCAAACAGG
rnacentral:rRNA from 1 species